GUUUUGAGCAUCUCUAAGAGUCAAAAGUCCCCCCUUUGCACUGUCGUUUUAGAGCUAUACUUAAGCCGGCUGGACGGAACGCUCUCCGGUGUCCGCUGAUCCGCCUGAAUCAGAAACUCCCUUCUCCAAAAAAGAGUCUGCUGUGUAACAAUGGCAGCUGUGCUUUCUCCUCAAUUUCCCUCUACUCAACCCAAACGCUUUUUGCCCUUCAGAACCCUACAGGCAGCCUCUCCCGCCCUCUCCGAGCUCUCUCUUCCACCUCAACGUCCCAAUGGGUCAGUGAUUGCCAAAGAGAGAAAGGCAUUCGUACCCAGAGCAUCUGUGGCAAUCACGGAGCAGAAUUCGAAGUCUCCUGUUUCUGGCAAGAAGAUGAGCAAUCCAAUUAUCGUUAUAGAUAACUACGACAGUUUUACUUACAAUCUUUGCCAGUAUGUGGGAGAGCUAGGGUGCGAUUUUGAAGUUUACCGAAAUGAUGAGCUUACAGUAGAGGAACUGAAAGGGAAAAAUCCAAGAGGAGUGCUUAUAUCCCCUGGGCCAGGUACACCUCAAGAUUCUGGGAUAUCACUGCAAACUGUUUUGGAACUUGGACCUACUGUGCCUUUAUUUGGUGUGUGUAUGGGUUUGCAGUGCAUUGGUGAGGCAUUUGGAGGGAAGGUUGUGCGUUCUCCUUUUGGUGUUAUGCAUGGGAAAAGUUCCCCUGUAUAUUAUGAUGAAAAGGGGGAAGAUGGUUUGCUUUUUGGUUUAUCGAAUCCGUUCACUGUUGGUAGAUAUCACAGCCUUGUGAUUGACAAAGAUAGUUUUCCUAGUGAAGUACUUGAGGUUACAGCAUGGACGGAAGAUGGAUUAAUAAUGGCUGCUCGUCACAAAAAAUAUAAGCAUCUGCAGGGUGUUCAGUUUCAUCCUGAAAGCAUUAUCACCAGUGAAGGCAAGACAAUCGUCCGCAAUUUUGUGAAAUUGAUAGAGAACAGGGAGAUUGGCUCCCAGAGUUAGAAGUACUGUUGUACAGAUGAAAAAAAAAACAGAAGAUGAAUGUAGCAUAUAAAGAUUUGCAGAUUUGUCGGAUUGCAGAGGGAGGGUAACAGAUCAACCCAACCAAAUCAGUCCUCAACUUUCCAGCUCAAUUUCUGUAUUGGCAGGGUACAACUUUUUGCUGAUCAUGCACAAUGAUCAUCUUGGAUUAGGGAACUGUCAGAAAAUGCACCUUUAAAGGUGAGUGAGGUUGGGUGUCUAAUCCCCUAACACUUGCACACUCUUCUUUACAUGCAAGUGUUGUGUUAAUUACAGAUUUGUUAUUGAACUUAUAAUUUAGAUUCAAUUUGGUCAGUACAUUUUAAUUCGAUGCAGUUCAUGUAUUAAGGUUUAAUUAUUGAUCCAAUUUCGGUCAAA